rnacentral:rRNA from 1 species
GACGAACGCUGGCGGCGUGCUUAACACAUGCAAGUCGAACGGAAAGGCCCUGCUUUUGUGGGGUGCUCGAGUGGCGAACGGGUGAGUAACACGUGAGUAACCUGCCCUUGACUUUGGGAUAACUUCAGGAAACUGGGGCUAAUACCGGAUAGGAGCUCCUGCUGCAUGGUGGGGGUUGGAAAGUUUCGGCGGUUGGGGAUGGACUCGCGGCUUAUCAGCUUGUUGGUGGGGUAGUGGCUUACCAAGGCUUUGACGGGUAGCCGGCCUGAGAGGGGGACCGGCCACAUGGGGACUGGGAUACGGCCCGGACUCCUACGGGAGGAAGCAGUGGGGAAUAUGGCACAAUGGGCGGAGGCCUGAUGCAGCAACGCCGGGUGCGGGAUAACGGCCUUCGGGUUGUAAACCGCUUUCGCCUGGGACGAAGCGUGAGUGACGGUAAUGGGUAAAGAAGCACCGGCUAACUACGUG